GUUUCCGUAGUGUAGAGGUUAUCACGUGUGCUUCACACGUGCAAGGUCCCUGGUUCGAUCCUGGGCGGAAACA